rnacentral:tRNA from 1 species
GCGCCGGUGGUGUAGAGGCGUAGAGCAUUCCCGCCCGGUCAGAGAGAGGUGCGGGUUCGAGUCCCGCCUGGCGCU